rnacentral:rRNA from 1 species
UACGGGGGGGGGCAAGCGUUGUUCGGAAUUACUGGGCGUAAAGGGCUCGUAGGUGGCCAACUAAGUCAGACGUGAAAUCCCUCGGCUUAACCGGGGAACUGCGUCUGAUACUGGAUGGCUUGAGAUUGGGAGAGGGAUGCGGAAUUCCAGGUGUAGCGGUGAAAUGCGUAGAUAUCAGGAAGAACACCCGUGGCGAAGGCGGCUCUCUGGGACGGUACUGACGCUGAGACGCGAAAGCCGUGGGGAGCGAACAGG